AUAUCAAUAAGCGGAGGAAAAGAAACCAACCGGGAUUGCCUUAGUAACGGCGAGUGAAGCGGCAAAAGCUCAAAUUUGAAAUCUGGCUCUAUUUUGGGGUCCGAAUUGUAAUUUGAAGAAGCGACUUUGGACCUGGCUCUUGUCUAUGUUCCUUGGAACAGGACGUCACAGAGGGUGAGAAUCCCGUGCGAUGAGAAGCCCAGGUUCGUGUAAAGCGUUUUCGACGAGUCGAGUUGUUUGGGAAUGCAGCUCUAAGUGGGUGGUAAAUUCCAUCUAAAGCUAAAUAUUGGCGAGAGACCGAUAGCGAACAAGUACAGUGAUGGAAAGAUGAAAAGAACUUUGAAAAGAGAGUGAAAAAGUACGUGAAAUUGUUGAAAGGGAAGGGCUUGAGAUCAGACUUUGUUUUUCCAUGGCGCUCUUUCGGGGGUGUCCUCUGGGUCUACAGGGCCAGCAUGGGUUUUGCGGGCGAGACAAGGACUCAGGAAUGUGGCUCUGCUUCGGUGGAGUGUUAUAGCCUGGGGUACUGGUCGCCAUGCGGGACCGAGGACUGCGGUACUAGGAUGCUGGCAUAAU
rnacentral:rRNA from 1 species